rnacentral:rRNA from 1 species
UACGAAGGGGGCUAGCGUUGUUCGGAUUUACUGGGCGUAAAGCGCACGUAGGCGGAUUGGUCAGUUAGGGGUGAAAUCCUGGAGCUCAACUCCAGAACUGCCUUUGAUACUGAAGAUCUUGAGUUCGGGAGAGGUGAGUGGAACUGCGAGUGUAGAGGUGAAAUUCGUAGAUAUUCGCAAGAACACCAGUGGCGAAGGCGGCUCACUGGCCCGGUACUGACGCUGAGGUGCGAAAGCGUGGGGAGCAAACAGGG